rnacentral:lncRNA from 1 species
GGGUGGGACACCAACUCCAUGUGUCCCCAUUGUUCCCUCACAGACUGGAAAUCAGGUGGCCUAGAGCCUGGCAGAGGUCUGCACAGUGAGGACAGCACAGCCAGGCAUGCCAGACACCCCUGAGGGAGGCCCUGGGGCAGACCUUCCUGAAAAGCUGGCCUAUCAACAGGCCCCUCCUUCCCUGACCCCAGAAGGGUCUGCAUUUCCUCCCCACAGGAAGGCAUGGUGGGAAGUCACCCUGGACCUCACAGCAAGUAUUAUCCACAGUAGCACAGAUGAAGCUUUCUGGAAUCCCUAGUUGGGGAUAAGCAACAGUGCAAGAGGAGUCCAGAAGAGGCACAAAAAAUGAGAAAAACUUGGCUACAUGAGCUACACCCUGAGGAGAGCCACCACAGGAUGGACGCCUAAUGUCCCUCAAUUCUCAGACAGUUGUGGAGCACCAGCCCUGUGCCCUUGAGUACAACCACAAAGCAGACAACAGACCCUGUCCUCUUGGAGCUGACAGUGAGGACAGGCAGGGAGUCAUGGGAUCAGGCUACCCUGAAGAAGGCAAAGGCAUUCACACCACUGAACAAGGGGUUCAUCUCAUGGAGCCUUCUGUCAGGCUCCCAGGGCUCUGGGGCAGGAAUUCUAUACCAGGCAUAGGGAGCAGAUGGGGUUCACUCAUGGACAAACUGGGCAGGAGGCUGAAAGCUAGAAUUUAUUGAUCCCCUAAUCUUAACCCUAGCACUGGUCCUUAAAUCUAAUCCUAAAUAAAACCUAAACCUAAACUUGAACCUACCUCUAAACCAUACCCCUGACCCUAACCUUCAAGACAAAAAUCUGAAACUAAACCUAAACACUAACUCUAAUAAAACCCCUCUUCAUAACAUUAAAUCUAAGCAUAUUUCAAUCCAAAUCCCUAGCCACUAACUCUAACCAUAAGAUUAACCCUGAAUGUAACCCUGAAAAUUUAUCCUAAAUCAAACCCUUAACGUACCCUUCAUGUUCACCUGAACCCUAAACAUAACAUUCAUACUCACCCUAAAUCUUAACCAUAAAUAACAUCAAACUCUAAUCCUAAUCCAUAACAUCUAACACUAACCCUAACUUCCACCCCAAUACCAUCCCAAAUCCAAUGCUAAGCGGAAACCUAGCCCUAACUCUAAGCCCCACACUACCCCUAAAGCCAAACCUAACAUAAACCCUAUCCUAAUAUCCAAUGCUAAACUUAAACCUUACUGCUAAUCCAUAUAAUAUUUUCAUCAAAGAGUCUCAGAGAGACCCCCUUUCUGUUGUUGAC